rnacentral:lncRNA from 1 species
CCCCAAUUCAUCUCUAUCCGCGUCCGUUCCCUGACUCCCUAUCGUAACCUCUCCAAUACUUUCAUCGAUCUCCUGUCUCUAUAUAACCGCUAUGGUUGAGGAACUGUAACGGUGACGAUGAUGAUUGUCGACGAUGGUUUUCUUCGAUGAUUCUCCAAGCGUCUGCCCCUGUCAUUCUUUAAGGGGCAUAUGAUGGUGAUGGAACCUAACCAAAAAGUCAAAGUUCGGAUGAAGAGGUCGAAGAGCCAAGCAAACUACGAGCAAAAAGUAGAUAAACGACCCUUGACCUGAUAAUGAUUUAACAAGGAGAACGAAUUUCAUGUAUUUGGUGAAUAAACUUGGACUUGCUAAGGUAUGGAUCACAUGAGGUAUGUAAUGUUAUUUUGUCGAACUUUCAUGAAUGUAAACUUGGAAGAGAACAUACUUGACUCACAAUCAAGUGACCCGUUAAGGAGAUUUUAAAUCAGUUAUUAUGUAUUAACCUUGUUUUAUUAGUGUGCAGGUUGGACUUGUUUUCAAUGGGUUCCACGUGCUAUUGAAAUUCUUAGUUGAUAUUAAAGGUUGUAUGCUAAAUGCGCUGGUGCAUA